GUGACAUAAGUCUUCGCUAAGUGCCAUUCGUGAGGGGUUAAUUUGAAGCAAAUUGAUUGACUGUUUAAAUGCAUCGUUUGUUGGAUCAACGACUUUUAUUCCUUUCGGAAUAUGAGGGACCACCUAUGCCCUCUCUUCUGGCCUGAUUUAAACAAUGUUUUGGACGCGUGCAUUAGGCUACAUCGGUCCUAUUCAACAUUGUGCCAUUUAGUACAAUAGAUGUUUGUUUUAUAUUAGCUGUUAUGUUGGUUAUUUGUAAAUAAACUGUUUUUAUCUAUAGUUUUAUAGCAUCCGGCCUAGUAAGCAAGUCUAUUAUCUGAAACCAACCCACUCAGGGAAGUAAUUGCCCACCCAUGGCUUAAAUGCAUUUCUUUGUUUGUAUCUCCCGAAAUGCGAGGAACCACCUGGUACAAAUAACUAAUUCCACACCUGAUGAAAAUCAUAUUCUAUGAUUAAGUCAUCCAAUCAAAUGUUCUUCAAACAUGCAAAUGUCAUCAAGAGCGAAGACAUAACAAUAUUUCUGCCAUGCAUGAUGGUAGACACUGUUUUGUUUUGGCUGGGAGAGACGUACUUUCUAAAUGUUGCACUUUGAAUCAUCGAUAAUUUAUUCCUAUGGAGACAGAAUAUCUGUCAUUGAUCCAACACUUCCGAUAUAUCAAUCAGGUCAGAUGACAAUACUAGAAAAUCCGCUGAGUGCAUCAAUUUAGCAAUGUCAUAUACAGGAUCUGAACUGGUAAGAGAUACUGUGGCAUAUGGUUGAGCCAGCUCCCUCUUUUCCGGGAUAAAAAAGAGGAACUCCCGAAGUAUGUGAACAAGAUGGCGGACACCAGAACGAAAUAUCGUAUAUGUUCGCGAAUAGGCCGAGUUUAAAACUCAAAAAAAAAGUUGCCAAACUAAGGGACCGUCUUAUUCGCGCAUAACUCAGAUUGCACCAAAAAUCAGCUCAUUCGCGCAUCAGAAUUUGAUCACGCAACGAGAUGAUAUUAUGCUGACCUAUGACAUUUACAUCAUAGUUUUGAGUCCCACUUCCAUGAAACUGAUCCAGACCAAUGUUUUAUGGCAGUGGUCACACUUACAAACAUCAGUGGGUAUGGCCAUAACCACAGUGAUUUCGAACAGCUUUCCAGCUCUUGUGGAAUCCCCCAUAUUUUUAACUUUCAAUUUCAUAUUAGAAACUAGAUAUUGCCUAAUAAGAACAGUUUCAUCGAAUCUCCGCAACUUUCCUUUUUAGUGGAAUUGUGUGCACGGCCAAAGAAGUGUUGAUUCUGACAUUUCUAAUUGCCAAGUUAGACUGUAACAGCUAACAUAAAACAUGGGUAUUUAAAGAGUUUUAAACUACGGAAAAUUGCCAUGCAUGACCUGAAAAAUGCUUUUUUUUGCUCAUUUCGAAAGAGGAAUUCCAGCCUUCAAACCCCAUUCUGGGUACGCCCAGACCUUUGUUCUCGUAUCUGAUUGAUUUUACUGAAAAACUGCUCUUGGACUGGACUAGUUUAAAUAAAACAUUUCUUUUAUUUUGAGUGCGUUAACAUGAAUCCACGCAAGAUCAAAGAAGAAGCUGGAAAAGGAUCUGUGAUUGAACUUUGAUGAAUUACAUUUGACUAAGGUGAGAAAGCAAGAUGUAUAUGAACCAAGAUGGCAGACACCAGAGCGUAGUAUGUGUACCAGAAAUUGAUCUGAUGAGCCCAGCUCCUCGACGCUCACAUAAGAAUCUACUUGGACCAGAAAUCGUAAAAAGUUUGACAAUACGGCACGAGAGAACACAACCGACUGACGUCAUCCAAAAAUUGAUCAAAAUUGUUUAUUAUGGCGAUACAGUUCUUUUCAUAUAUAUUCAAAACUAUAAAAGUGAUUUUGUAAACGUAAAAUGGGGCUAAUGAUCCAAAAUAAAGAAUUACCUUUGGUGUGGUCUGAUUCCAAUACGAAAGAUUCGGAUUCGGACCGGGGCCCACCAGUUGAGUAGCCCUGGUAUAUUCUUAUUGCAGUAGUAAAGAAACCGGACUUAUAUUCGCGAUUAUGUGAUAAAAUAAACUACUGACUGACUGACAUACAGUUAGACUACCUGCCAAAACGAGCAUUAACUCUACAUUUAUCAAACAAACGAACAUUCGCAUAAUCUAAGUAUCAGUUCGGCAAGUGAAUUGCUUAUUUUAUUCAGCUUUUUUACAUCCAAGUUGUGUAAAGGGAUUGAAACCUAUGGGCAGGGAAAUAUUCACUUGGCUAACACAGACAGUCCCCGAACUCUUAAUAGAACUAAAAUAAGGAAAAUCAGAAUAAAAUUAAAUUGGUACACAUACUACCAGAGUACCCAAUUGGAAAACUUGCUAAAAACGCAUUUAUCUUGCUUUAAAUUGUAUGUACCUUAAAUGUAUACUGUUGCCAACCUAUCGAGAUUGUGAAAUCUAGAAGCGUGAUUAUAUUGUGUCCGUUUUAAUAAAUCCACCCCUAUAAGUGGUGAUAUUCAUAAAGUAGCUUGUAUGUCGGUGAAGAUGAUCAGUCAAAUACAUAAAACAUUUUUAUAAAUUACAAAUAGUUUCAAAUAUUUACCAUCCUCUUAAUUUAAAAACACCGAAAUACAAAAACUGGGGGCAUAGUGCGUGUCGCUUUCAAGUUAUUCUCGUUGAACUGAGUGUCACUUAUUCUAAUUCGGAAAUAGAUUACAAAAGUUGGGAGAGAAAUCACUGUUUAAAUAAAUGUAGCGCCAAUGGCAGCCAACAACAUGAACCCCAGAGAUCUGCUUUCCAGUGAUUAUUUGUAGAGUUACGGGCGCGGCUACAUAAAGUGAGAAUGAUUGAAAUCUUAACUUCCGGCAAUUUUUUUUGUUAUGGCUGAUUGGCUAUGAUACAUAUUCGUGAAAACAGUAAAAUUGGGGUCUAGUUCUGAAAAAAGGUGGUCUAUUCUAAACAUUUUGGUCUCUUUAUUUAUAUUCACAUCAACAAUCAUCCUCUUUGCUGAUUUUUACGAUUACAUUUAUAUGAAAUGUUUUGUCA